AACUUGACACUCGAGUUUUAUGGAUCUUGUGUGUUUCUAUCUAUUGGUGGUGGGAUUAAGUGAUCCAGUCUCAAAGGAAAAGAACAGUUAUGGAAAACAUUUCAGAAAAGAAGUAUACAUAAAUUGUGUGUUUGUUUUUUCUCUACAAGCUCUUUAUCCUCAAUCAACUUCUUCAUUCGCGGCAGCGACAACCUAACAUGGAAUCGAAUUAUCGGUGAACGGGCGACCCGCACAGAGUCGUAAGACUAUGGCGACCUGAAUGCGACCUCCUAGAGAUCCGGGGUGUUCCGGAAUCAGAUAGUCCCAACACUGUCACAGCCGUGAAGGAAGGGUUUUAGCAAAGACACCGAAAACGUGUGAAUUUGGGGUAGAUUUUCUCUUUUUAGUUUAACCUUUGGUGUCUGGGUUGCUCGGUUGUUUGUUUGUUAUUUUGGUUAUUUUACUCAUUAUUUUAUUUGUUUGUUGUUGUGAAGCUUUUUGGUAGUUUACUAUUGAAUAAUUUGGAGGGUUUUAUGUAGUUUGUUUAACCGUUUUUACAAUAGCUUUAGAUUAUUUUACUUUCAUUUGACAUGGGAAAUACCAAUAGACUAAAUGCACGUGUCUAUGCUUAUCUGACUUGUUCUAUUCAUAUUGCGCAUCUCUACGUAGAAUGUAAACAAUGAUGCGGGAUAUUUAGGAACUUGGUCAAUGAAUUCAUAUCUAGGUUAGCCUAACUCUGAUGGUGGUUUCAGAGAUAACGUUGUUAUAUAUAAGAAAUAAAAAUGUUCCGUCGUCAGGAGGAAAGUGGUAUGCAAACAGUAUCGCGUCGACACAGAUAUUGUAGAAGCUUUCAUGGAAGUCUGUACGUAUGCUAAUGUCCGAAAGAUCAAAACAAUAAAUGACGUACAAAUGUACCCAGAAGUCCACGUCAUUCGACGGAGUCAACGGCCAUCGCAUUAUCAUGCAAUCCUUAUCCUCCCCUUUCUUUCUCUUUCUUUCUUUCUUUUCUUUCUUUCUUUUUCUUUCUUUCUUUAUUUUUCUUUCUUUCUUGUCAUUCUUUUUCCAUAUUUCUUUUUUUUCUUCCUUUUUUUCUUUGAAUUAAUCUUCCUUUCUGUCUCUCUUUUAUUGAAGAUCCUUACUAUUCAUAUAGUGACCCCGUCCAUCUGUCUAUCUCGCGUUCUUCCUACUAUACCGUCUGGGUGUAUCCAUUGAGUGUUCCUGUGGUUAUUAACAGUUAGUGUCACCGAUUCUGUACAAGGACUCAAGGACAAACGGUGAUUUAAAUACAUGUCAACCUGUAUAAAUUUUUUAACACGCGCAAGUAUUUCAUUUCUUUACAUUCCAAAGUUUGUUGGAAUUUUUCUGCUGAAUAAUAAAUGAUGUUUUUGUUAGCGAAAUAAAUGUUUAUUUUUACCC
rnacentral:sRNA from 1 species